rnacentral:ncRNA from 1 species
AGACUCGAUUGCGUUGAUGGUUCCCCUGCCGGGGAUUAAAAGGGAAUUCGGUGCCAGGUCAACGGUCUGAAUCCGGAGCUGCCCCCGCAACUGUUAUCGGCGAGCGUUUCGCCAAUCUGCCCACUGGUUCCAACCGGGAAGGCGGAUGAAACGCGACGACCCGAGAGCCAGGUGGCCUGCCGCAACGUCCUUCCAACCA